rnacentral:rRNA from 1 species
GACGAACGCUGGCGGCAGGCUUAACACAUGCAAGUCGAACGCAUCGCAAGAUGAGUGGCAGACGGGUGAGUAACACGUGGGAACAUACCCUUUGGUGCGGAACAACAGCUGGAAACGGCUGCUAAUACCGCAUGCGCCCUACGGGGGAAAGAUUUAUCGCCGAAGGAUUGGCCCGCGUCUGAUUAGCUAGUUGGUGAGGUAAUGGCUCACCAAGGCGACGAUCAGUAGCUGGUCUGAGAGGAUGAUCAGCCACACCGGGACUGAGACACGGCCCAG